AAAAAGGCAAACCCUGGGUUUCCGUAUCCAAUUUUAACGGUCUGUCUUAUAUGAAAUUUUUUUAUAAUUCGUAUUUUCAUUAUUGUUAGAUGAUAAAACAUGAUUAAUAUUUUAUGCGUGACUUGUCUUUUUAAUAUUUUUUAUAAUUUUUUUAAAUAAGACGGACGGUCAAACGUUGGGCACGAAAACCAGAGUUUAUU
rfam:Oryza glumipatula chromosome 6, whole genome shotgun sequence.